rnacentral:rRNA from 1 species
AGCGAACGCUGGCGGCAGGCCUAACACAUGCAAGUCGAACGAACCUUUCGGGGUUGGUGGCGGACGGGUGAGUAACACGUGGGAACGUGCCUUUAGGUUCGGAAUAACUCAGGGAAACUUGUGCUAAUACCGAAUGUGCCCUUCGGGGGAAAGAUUUAUCGCCUUUAGAGCGGCCCGCGUCGGAUUAGCCAGUUGGUUGAGGUAAUGGAGCACCAAGGCGACGGUCAGUAGCUGGUCUGAGAGGAUGAUCAGCCACAUUGGGACUGAGACACGGCCCAAACUCCUACGGGAGGCAGCAGUGGGGAAUCUUGCGCAAUGGGCGAAAGCCUGACGCAGCCAUGCCGCGUGAAUGAUGAAGUUCUUAGGAUUGUAAAAUUCUUUCACCGGGGACGAUAAUGACGGUACCCGGAGAAGAAGCCCCGGCUAACUUCGUG